rnacentral:rRNA from 1 species
GGGUGUUGCAUGGCUGUCGUCAGCUCGUGUCGUGAGAUGUUCGGUUAAGUCCGCUAACGAGCGCAACCCUCGUCGUAUGUUAUAUGUGUCAUACGAGACUGCCGGUAAAAGCCGGAGGAAGGUGAGGAUGAUGUCAAGUCAGCAUGACCUUUAUAUCCAGGGCUACACACACGCUACAAUGGUCUGUACAAUGGGUAGCCAAGCCGCGAGGCGGAGCCAAUCCUGAAAGCAGGCCUCAGUUCAGAUUGCAGUCUGCAACUCGACUGCAUGAAGCCGGAGUUGCUAGUAACCGCAGGUCAGCAAUACUGCGGUGAAUACGUUCCCGGGUCUU